GUUCAUGUUUGUAUUGUACAUGUAGAGAGGUGAGACUAUAAUAAAAUAUUUGAUUUGAUUUGAUUUGAUUUGAUUUUUAUAAUGGUUUACUUUUAUUAAUUGUUAUUUGGAUGGAAAAUUGUCUCAUUGGCACUCACACUACAUCUUCCUAUAUCUAUAAUGGUUUACUUUUAUUAAUUGUUAUUUGGAUGGAGAGUUGUCUCAUUGGCACUCAGACCACAUCUUCCUUUAUCUAUAAUGGUUUACAUUUUUUAAUUGUUAUUUGGAUGAAGAGUUGUCUCAUUGGCACUCACACCACAUCUCCUUAUAUCUAUAAUGGUUUACUUUUUUUAAUUGUUAUUUGGAUGGAGAGUUGUCUCAUUGGCACUCACACCACAUCUUCCUUUAUCUAUUAAUUAAAUAAAAGACCAUGUUGAUUUUUGUAUUGAGAAACUAUUAGUACAUUUUAUUAAGAUCGGCAAAUGUUUAAAACAUGAUUAUGUGUGAAAACAACCAUUGAAAUUACAUUUUUAAAGACAAAUACAAAACUAGAACUUUUUGAAAUUGUUGAUGAAAAUAUUAAUAUUUUAUUUUGAGAACGAAAGAAAAGUUU
rnacentral:lncRNA from 1 species